CGCCAUCUGUUGUCAAUGAAACUGUAGACACGUGAUACCGGCGAAAUUUGUUCAACUUCCUUUUUCACUUUUCUGCCACAUGGUUGCUACCCUCUUAGCCAUUUUCUCACAAUUUUCAUCAGAAAUGGCUGCCAACAACGAAAGAUCUUUCAUCAUGGUUAAACCUGAUGGUGUUCAAAGAGGGUUGACUGGCGAAAUCAUCAAAAGAUUUAACAAUAGAGGAUAUAAACUGGUUGCAUGUAAAUUAGUUCAGGUGAUAUAUUUUCCCAAAAUGUCAAAUGCAUUAAUUAUAAAAAAAAUAUAUUGUGUACAGAGGUGAGUUCAAUGUCAGCUCUCGGACUACAUGAACACACUAACAUAUUACAGUUUAACGGUUUAAUCCGUGGGAUGACAAAUACAUGUAUAAAUAUUUUUAUACAAGACAACUUGAAGCCUUUCUGCGCA
rnacentral:lncRNA from 1 species